GUGCUCACUUCGGCAGCAAAUAUACUAAAAUUGGAACAGUACAGAGAAGAUUAGCAGGGCCCUGCACAAGGAUGACACACAAAUUUGUGAAGCAUUCCAUAUUUUU